CCGGCCUACGGGAUGCAGCAGUGGGGGAUAUUGGACAAUGGGGGGAACCCUGAUCCAGCGACGCCGCGUGAGUGAAGAAGUAUUUCGGUAUGUAAAGCUCUGUCAGCAGGGAAGAAAGCAAUGACGGUACCUGACCAAGAAGCCCCGGCUAACUACGUGCCAGCAGCCGCGGUAAUUCGUAGGGGGCAAGCGUUAUCCGGAAUUACUGGGUGUAAAGGGAGCGUAGAAGGCUGUGCAAGUCUGGUGUGAAAGGCGGGGGCCCAACCUCCAGACUGCUCUGUAAACUGUAUGGCUGGAGUGCGGGG
rnacentral:rRNA from 1 species